rnacentral:lncRNA from 1 species
UGGCUAUGUGAGCAAUUGUCCUGAGGUCUGACGUGUUCAAAAUGCACUUUUAUGUAACAUUAUGAUCCAUAUAUUGUGUUUUAAGCAUUUUAGAAAGGCUGUUCUUUGCCAUAUUCAUUUACAGACAUUUUUUUUUUCUAAAUGUAGUUUGAACAAUAUUCUGAUUUUCUGAAAUUGAAAAAUUUAAUUUUUGCACUUGCACCUAUUUUUAAAGAAGUUUGCAGUUUUAGCAAAAAUGAGCACUUUUAAGUGUCUGCCUUAUUUUAAACAGUAAAACUAUCAGAUUUGUGUCAAAGCUUAUACCUGAACUAAGUCAACUAUAUAUAUUAUAUAUAUCUAUAUAAUCUGGGUUAAUACAGUGUUGGACUGUCAUGAAUAGUGACACUCAAAAAUUAAUUCACUUUCAGCCAAAUCUGUGCCUUUUAAUUAAAAACAUUUCCCACCAUUUCAUUUAACAUAAUACUAGUGUAUGUAGUCUCUUAAUAUCUAGUCAAUGUAGUUGAGUUACUUUUACAUAGUUGUGUUCUAUAGACAUCCCAUAGUGAGACAUCUCACUCAUAUUACUCCUAGAACCAGGGUUCUAUACAUAAGCUACAGUUUUCUUCCAGCCUUAACCUCUCACUGUCUCUUAUAGGAUGCUGUCACUCAUUUUUGGGAGCCUGCCGUGGUUUCCUCUAUAUGGCCCUGUUUCCAUAGGACUGUUCCUCAAUGUUCAUGUCUGUUCAACCACCAAGGUUGAGAACCACUGUCAUAAGGAACCAUCGAGUUAAAGAUGUAAAAUACUGGGACUUUGAAUAAGAAAUAAUGAAGGACAUACAUUUUUAUUGGGAGACUGAGGAAAUAUUUUGAUAUGCAGAUACAUUUUGACAUAAAUAAUCAAAUAUUGCUGCAUUUGGUCGGUCGUCUGCUCACAAAUAUGCUCAGUUUAUUUGUUAUAAUAUAACACAGAAUUGCGUUUAGAGUUGCUGAGAUAUUUUUGCUAAAUAUCUGUCAUCAAUUUGAAUUCAAAGCCAAGAUUUUUGCACUUUAUUUGUAUUAUUCUGUAUGUGGAUUGUUUCAAGAUGGAAAGAUGUGAAACAAAUGUGAUAUUUCUACUUUUGAAGUACGGUGUUGAACUGCUGAAGUCAGCAUCCAAUAGGAACAUUUCAAAUUCCAAAUAAAAAGACUGAGAGGGUGACUUCA